rnacentral:rRNA from 1 species
UGGGGAAUAUUGCACAAUGGGCGCAAGCCUGAUGCAGCCAUGCCGCGUGUAUGAAGAAGGCCUUCGGGUUGUAAAGUACUUUCAGCGGGGAGGAAGGCGUUAAGGUUAAUAACCUUGGCGAUUGACGUUACCCGCAGAAGAAGCACCGGCUAACUCCGUGCCAGCAGCCGCGGUAAUACGGAGGGUGCAAGCGUUAAUCGGAAUUACUGGGCGUAAAGCGCACGCAGGCGGUCUGUCAAGUCGGAUGUGAAAUCCCCCGGGCUCAACCUGGGAACUGCAUUCGAAACUGGCAGGCUGGAGUCUUGCAGAGGGGU